GGAAACCAUGACUUCAUUCCUCCAUUCUUCCCAUCUAGGAGGGAUGCUACAGGAUCGGAGAGGCAAUUCUGCCCUGCUCCCUGUUUAGCUGUGUUUAUUCACAUUUAGCUGUGUUUAUUCACGGUAUCCUGGGGGCAUUGUAUGUACCCACCAGUCAUGGGAAGUUUCCUGGCAAGAAGAAAUUGACUCUGUUACAGGGGUAUAUUCUAGGAUUGCCGCCUGGCAGUAAGUAAACAUCAGCUCCAUGUAAGCCAGCUGGUGGAGUGCGAGCUUAAGUUGACUGGGAUUUUUAUAAGGAUUCUUGUGUUAGCUUUCUGUCGCUGUGGCUAAAACCUUAGAGAAGUCAAAUUAAAGGGGAGAAGACUUACUUGGGCUUAUGACUUCAGAGGUUUCUGACUCCACUGCUUUUGAAGCCAAGGCAAGACAAACUAUCUCAGCAGUAGGAGUGUAUGGCCAAGAGACUGCACACUGCCUGCCUCGUGGCUGUCAGAGAUCAGGGAAGAAGAAAGACGCCUUACAGGGGAGCCUGCCCAGUGAACUACUUCCUCCAACUAGACCUCCAGCAAUUUCUACCAGCCCCUUAUAGAUUAUUCAACCAUGCAUCUGUCAAGGAAUGGAUGAAUCCAUUGAUGAGCCACAUCGUAGUCACAUUUGAUGUCCACAAUACAACACAUCCCAGAGGAUAUGGCCACCAAGGUGUGGCUCCUACGGAAUUCCCAGAAUACGUCUAGUCGAGUACAGCAGAGGCACAAAGAACCAUGGAGGGAAUGCAGCAGCGAGCACUACCAUAGAUCCUGUUGAAAUCUUGAACAAGGGCCGGACUGUUUCACCCCGUCUCCAGGCAACAGCCAGGCGCGCCAGGCGGAACGUCAUUUCCUGAAGAGCCC
rnacentral:lncRNA from 1 species